CUUUUCAACAUCAAAUCUCAAAAUCUGGCCAUUCUCUCUUAAGAAACCCUACAAACUCAUCAAAGCCCAAAUCCAGAUCCAUCACGGUACCAAGAAGACCACGCUAAUUCCUGGAUCUCUCAUUUCUUAUCCGCAAUUCCUGGAUCUCUCAUUUCUUAUCCGCCUCCAUCUACACUCUCUCUUCAAAUCCCAAAAAAUCUCAUCUCAAAACACUCACUGUGCAAGACACCAGCGGGUCCGUUUCUACUGCCGUUGAUUCGACUACAUCUAUGGCCCGGUCUAAGGUGAGGCGCUACACGAUUUCAGUGUUUAUUGGUGACGAAAGUGGAAUGAUAAAUCGGAUUGUAGGAGUCUUUGCAAGGAGAGGGUAUAAUAUCGAGUAACUUGCUGUUGGUUUAAACAAGGACGAAGCUCUUUUUACUAUAGUUGUAUCUGGGACUGAAAGCUUGUUAAUGUUUUAAAGGUUGAAUAUAUUUCAAAGGAGCCGCAAGAACGUGAGUUGAUGCUCAUCAAGAUAAAUGCAGAUCCAAGAUAUAGUUUAGAGAGAAAGCUAUAACCAUCGAGGUGAUGGGAGUCAAAAACUUUAUCGUCACCGAUGUUUCGUUAACAGAUGAUCUCUCCGUCAUCACCGCUCUCUCUCCAUCAUACAUCUCCGGUACCGUCAUCUCCGUCGUCAACUCUUCAUACAAAUUGAUAUAAUGAAGGAUGGUUGUUAGUUGUGAUAGUUCGAAUAAUUCGUUACCAACGGUUCUCUCGAAGCGGAAGAGGCCUGCGAGGAUUCAGAUUCCGUUUGCGCCGUUGAGUUUUGUGGAUGAGGUGGUUAAGCCGGUUGAUGAUGUGGCAGAGAUUGAUGAUGAAGGUGAGGAGUAUUCUGUGUAUUGUAAAAGAGGAAAAUGAGGCGCUAUGGAGGAUCGGUACUCGGUUGUUGUUGAUCUUCAAGGCGAUUGUAAACAGGCUUUCUUUGGAGUUUUUGAUGGCCAUUGAGGCGCAAAGGCGGCAGAUUUUUCAGCAUUAAAAACCAACAUUCUUUACUGCUCAGAUAUGG